GGAAAUUUUGGCAAUUUAAUUAUCCAUUUUACUGAAGAUAUGUACUUCGGUAGUUUCCAAUUUGGAUCUCUUAUGUUCCCGAGCAUGUUUUUUGGUUCUUGCUCAUGGGAAUUCUUUGAGGCUUAACAGUGUUGCUUCUGCCUUUCUUAUAUUUCCUUAUCUGAUGAAAUGAGCUUUGUUAUUUCUUUUUCCUGGUGAACAAAUUUUAUUGUAAUCACUCUUUUUCCUAUGAUGUGGUACUUCACUUCUCCCAGAACAAGAGGCCUGAUGAAGACGAAGCCAUGGGGAGGAGCUGGAGGCCGGAAGUCAGCUAAAACCCAGAAUAAAAAGGAAACUACAUCACCAUAUGUUGGG